rnacentral:misc_RNA from 1 species
GAUGAAGAACGCAGCGAAAUGCGAUACGUAGUGUGAAUUGCAGAAUUCAGUGAAUCAUCGAAUCUUUGAACGCACAUUGCACCUCUCGGUAUUCCGGGAGGUAUGCCUGUUCGAGCGUCAUUUGUACCCUCAAGCUCUGCUUGGUGUUGGGUGUUUGUUCCGCCUCUGUGUGUGAACUCGCCUCAAAACAAUUGGCAGCCGGCGUACUUGUUUCGGAGCGCAGCACAUUUUGCGAUCCAGAUCAACGUACAGCGGCAUCCAAGAAGCCUUAUUUAACGCUCUUGACCUCGGAUCAGGUAGGGAUACCCGCUGAACUUAAGCAUAUCAAUAAGCGGAAGGA